AGUGAACGCUGGCGGCGUGCUUAACACAUGCAAGUCGAACGAGAACGGAAUAUAGCUUGCUAUAUUUGUCAGCUAAGUGGCGCACGGGUGAGUAAUGUAUAGAUAACCUGCCCUUAAGAAAGGAAUAACAGUUGGAAACGACUGCUAAUGCCCUAUAUGCCUUUAAUACAUAAGUAUGCAAGGGAAACGCUUUAGUGCUUAAGGAUGGGUCUGUAUGGUAUCAGCUUGUUGGUGAGGUAAUGGCUCACCAAGGCUAUGACGCCUAACUGGUUUGAGAGGAUGAUCAGUCACACUGGAACUGAGACACGGUCCAGACUCCUACGGGAGGCAGCAGUGGGGAAUAUUGCACAAUGGACGAAAGUCUGAUGCAGCAACGCCGCGUGGAGGAUGACACAUUUCGGUGCGUAAACUCCUUUUAUAUAGGAAGAUAAUGACGGUACUAUAUGAAUAAGCACCGGCUAACUCCGUGCCAGCCGCCGCCGUUAA
rnacentral:rRNA from 1 species